GCAGCGGGUAGGGUCGGGUCGUUUGCCGCGACCUGUGACCGGUAUGGCAAUAGCCGGGACCAGUAACCGAGGCUGAGGACGAAACCGGACCCCCGUGUGCCCCCACAUUGGACUAUGACGAGCGGUCUCCGAAGUCUGCCACGGCCAUAGCAGCAGUCGUAGGACUGCUGGGAUUGGCUUAGACCUCCGAACCGGGUCAGGCCCUGGCGGGAACAGCCCUAAGGAGGAGUGGUGGAGCCUCGGAGGCAGCCGCUCCGAGAAAGGUGUGGGAAAGCACCGGGGGGAAGGACGUUCGAGGCCGAGGGGCCGCUGC
rnacentral:SRP_RNA from 1 species